AACGAACGCUGGCGGCAGGCUUAACACAUGCAAGUCGAACGAUGUAGCAAUACAUAGUGGCGCACGGGUGAGUAACGCGUGGGAAUAUACCUUAUAGGUGGGGAAUAACUUUGGGAAACUAAAGCUAAUACCGCAUACGCCCGAGAGGGAAGAUUUAUCGCUAUAAGAUUAGCCCGCGUGAGAUUAGGUAGUUGGUGGGGUAAUGGCCUACCAAGCCUACGAUCUCUAGCUGGUCUGAGAGGAUGAUCAGCCACACUGGAACUGAGACACGGUCCAGACUCCUACGGGAGGCAGCAGUGGGAAUAUGGGCAAUGGAGGAAACUCUGACCCAGCCAUGCCGCGUGAAUGAUGAAGGCCUUAGGGUUGUAAAGUUCUUUCACCGAUGAAGAUAAUGACGGUAGUCGGAGAAGAAG
rnacentral:rRNA from 1 species